rnacentral:rRNA from 1 species
GACGAACGCUGGCGGCGUGCCUAAUACAUGCAAGUCGAGCGAGGCUCUUCGGAGUCUAGCGGCGGACGGGUGAGUAACACGUGGGCAACCUGCCUGUAAGACUGGGAUAACACCGGGAAACCGGUGCUAAUACCGGAUAAUUCUUUUCCUCUCAGGAGGAAAAGCUGAAAGUCGGCUUCGGCUGACCCUUACAGAUGGGCCCGCGGCGCAUUAGCUAGUUGGUGAGGUAACGGCUCACCAAGGCGACGAUGCGUAGCCGACCUGAGAGGGUGAUCGGCCACACUGGGACUGGGAAACGGCCCAGACUCCUACGGGAGGCAGCAGUAGGGAAUCUUCCACAAUGGACGAAAGUCUGAUGGAGCAACGCCGCGUGAGCGAUGAAGGCCUUCGGGUCGUAAAGCUCUGUUGUUAGGGAAGAACAAGUACCGGAGUAACUGCCGGUACCUUGACGGUACCUAACCAGAAAGCCACGGCUAACUACGUGCCAGCCGCCGCCGUAACAC